rnacentral:sRNA from 12 species
UUGACAAGUAAUUUAUUAGUUGAACCCUGUGAAGAGGAUUACGUCUUGCAGGGAUGGCAUCUUGAUGAAAUAGCAAUAAGGCUGGGAUACUGGUCGUACGUAAAAAACUCUGGUAGGUAACAUCAGAGUUCUCUCGUAAGCUACGAUUUACGAGCGGAGAUGUCAGUGCAACAUAUUAUCGGUGUUUAAACAAGCUUACAGCUCGUCCCACAAGAAGCUCUGUAGAAAUACAUCUCACCAUUAGUUACAAGCCUGAGAAACUUGAUAGCUGGGUUCUCAAAGUAAGGAAGUGUCUUGAAGUAACGUAAGUUAUGUAUAAGAGUUAGUAAGUGUGCAAGUAGCCGUAUGACACAGCUCAAAUAUGAUACGUUGUGCAUGAGUUAUGAGUAAUAGUAACUGAUGAACCUUAAAAAAUUCUGAAGUUCGGUGAAAGUUGCAGAAUACAAAUACAAUCUAUUUGAUUCUAGCCAUUGUUCGGGUUUUACCCCAUUGAGGAAGCCUAAAGGUAGCUCCUUUUCGCUCAGACCUCCGUGAAUGUGUGUGAAUAAAACAUGAUAAAAGUGUUGUAAGAUGAAGAAAAGUCUCAAUGUUAAAUUACUUAUC